rnacentral:rRNA from 1 species
GACGAACGCUGGCGGCGUGCCUAAUACAUGCAAGUAGAACGAGUGGCGACCGGGUGAGUAAUGUAUCGGGACGUGCCCAGUAGCGGGGGAUAACUACUGGAAACGGUAGCUAAUACCGCAUACCAUCGGAUGUGCGCGGGUGUGAUUAGCUAGUAGGUGGGGUAACGGCUCACCUAGGCGACGAUCCCUCGCUGGUCUGAGAGGAUGACCAGCCACACGUGAACUGAGACACGGUCCAGACUCCUACGGGAGGCAGCAGUGGGGAAUAUUGCACAAUGGGCGCAAGCCUGACGCAGCCAUGCCGCGUGUAUGAAGAAGGCCUUCGGGUUGUAAAGUACUUUCAGCGAGGAGGCGUUACUCGCAGAAGAAGCACCGGCUAACUCCGUGCCAGCAGCCGCGGUAAUUC